GAAGAGGACAGAAACUGAGAGAC
rnacentral:piRNA from 1 species